rnacentral:rRNA from 1 species
CGGGGUGGAGUAACGCGUGGGUAACCUGCCUCAUACAGGGGGAUAACAGUUAGAAAUGGCUGCUAAUACCGCAUAAGCACACAGUGUUGCAUGACACAGUGUGAAAAACUCCGGUGGUAUGAGAUGGACCCGCGUCUGAUUAGCUAGUUGGUGGGGUAACGGCCUACCAAGGCGACGAUCAGUAGCCGACCUGAGAGGGUGACCGGCCACAUUGGGACUGAGACACGGCCCAA